rnacentral:rRNA from 1 species
AGAGUUUGAUCAUGGCUCAGGAUGAACGCUGGCGGCGUGCCUAACACAUGCAAGUCGAGCGAGAAGGUAGAGAGUGAUUCUUCGGAUGAGCGAUCUACCGGGCAGCGGCGGACGGGUGAGUAACGCGUGGGUAACCUGCCUUAUACUGGGGGAUAACAUUCUGAAAAGGAUGCUAAUACCGCAUAAGCGCACAGCAUCGCAUGAUGCCGUGUGAAAAACUCCGGUGGUAUAAGAUGGACCCGCGUCUGAUUAGCUAGUUGGUGAGAUAAUAGCUCACCAAGGCAACGAUCAGUAGCCGACCUGAGAGGGUGAUCGGCCACAUUGGGACUGAGACACGGCCCAAACUCCUACGGGAGGGCAGCAGUGGGGGAAUAUUUGCACAAUGGGGGAAAACCCUGAUGCAGCGACGCCGCGUGAAGGGAUGAAGGUUUUUCGGUAUCGUAAACUUCUAUCAGCAGGGAAGAAAAUGACUGUACCCUGACUAAGAAAGCCCCCGGCUAACUACGUGCCAGCAGCCGCGGUAAUACGUAGGGGGGCAAGCGUUAUCCGGAAUUACUGGGUGUAAAGGGGUGCGUAGGCGGUAAAGUAAAAUUUUCCGAGAGACAUAC